rnacentral:tRNA from 1 species
GGUCCGCUAGCUCAGCUGGAUAGAGCAACGCCCUUCUAAGGCGAAGGCCUCAGGUUCGAAUCCUGAGCGGAUCACAA